CUAUCACUCUGUAUUUAUAGGAAGUGGAAUGUCUCACUGCAUUCUAUCACACUGUAUUUAUAGGAAGUGGAAUGUCUCACUGUAUUCUAUCACACUGUAUUUAUAGGAAGUGGAAUGUCUCACUGUAUUCUAUCACAAUGUAUUUAUAGGAAGUGGAAUGUCUCACUGUAUUCUAUCACACUGUAUUUAUAGGAAGUGGAAUGUCUC